GGAACCUAGCGGCGAAUGGGUGAGUAACACGUGCUUAAUCUGCCUCUUAGAUUGGAAUACCAAAUGGAAACAUUUGCUAAUGCGGGAUACGCAUGGAACCGCAUGGUUCCGUUGUGAAAGGAGCCUUUAAGCUCCGCUAAGAGAUGAGGGUGCGGAACAUUAGUUAGUUGGUAGGGUAAUGGCCUACCAAGACUAUGAUGUUUAGCCGGGUCGAGAGACUGAACGGCCACAUUGGGACUGAGAUACGGCCCAAACUCCUACGGGAGGCAGCAGUAGGGAAUAUUCCACAAUGGGCGAAAGCCUGAUGGAGCGACACAGCGUGCACGAUGAAGGUCUUCGGAUUGUAAAGUGCUGUUAUAAGGGAAGAACACUUCAAGUAGGAAAUGACUUGAAGCUGACGGUACCUUGUCAGAAAGCGAUGGCUAACUAUGUGCCAGCAGCCGCGGUAAUACAUAGGUCGCAAGCGUUAUCCGGAAUUAUUGGGCGUAAAGCGUUCGUAGGCUGUUUAUUAAGUCUGGAGUCAAAUCCCAGGGCUCAACCCUGGCUCGCUUUGGAUACUGGUAAACUAGAGUUGGAUAGAGGUAAGCGGAAUUCCAUGUGAAGCGGUGAAAUGCGUAGAUAUAUGGAAGAACACCAAAGGCGAAGGCAGCUUACUGGGUCUAUACUGACGCUGAGGGACGAAAGCGUGGGGAGCAAACAGGAUUAGAUACCCUGGUAGUCCACGCCGUAAACGAUGAUCAUUAGUCGGUGGAACAGUUCACUGACGCAGCUAACGCAUUAAAUGAUCCGCCUGAGUAGUAUGCUCGCAAGAGUGAAACUUAAAGGAAUUGACGGGGACCCGCACAAGCGGUGGAGCAUGUGGUUUAAUUUGAAGAUACACGGAGAACCUUACCCACUCUUGACAUCUUCUGCAAAGCUA
rnacentral:rRNA from 1 species